rnacentral:rRNA from 1 species
GAGACUCUGUGCGCGUGCAUAUCAAUAAGCGGAGGAAAAGAAACUAACAAGGAUUCCCUUAGUAACGGCGAGUGAAGCGGGAAGAGCUCAAAUUUGAAAUCUUCAAGGUUUUACCUUGACGAAUUGUAGUUUAAAGAAGUGUUUUCUGUUGAAGUUUUGGUAAAAGUUCUUUGGAAUAGGACAUCAUAGAGGGUGAGAAUCCCGUAUUUGACCAUUAUUUUCAGCUGUGUGAUACACUUUCAAAGAGUCGGAUUGUUUGGGAAUGCAGUCCAAAAUGGGUGGUAAAUUUCAUCUAAAGCUAAAUAUUGGCGAGAGACCGAUAGCGAACAAGUACCGUGAGGGAAAGAUGAAAAGAACUUUGAAAAGAGAGUUAAACAGUACGUGAAAUUGUCAAAAGGGAAGCGUUUGACACCAGUGUUGUUUUCUCGAAAAUCAAUUAAAAAAGGCCGGAUUUUGUGUUGUAUUGACCUUAAAAGCUUUCUUCACUUUUUUCAUGUCUUUUUUAAUGCACUUUUCGUUUAACAAGUCAACAUCAGUUUCUUUUGUUGUAAAAGGGUCAUUGGAAGGUGGCUUUCUUUUCGGAGAAAGUGUUUAUAGCCUUUGGCUUCUGCAAUCGGAGAGAUUGAGGUCUGCAGCGUAGAUCCUUCGGGGUUAGAUACGUUUGUGCUAAGUUAUAGCUUUUCAUAGACAACUUGUUGACUAUGUUUAGUCUUGUAGCUUACUCGCUUACGCUAUUUUACCUACGCUUAGGAUGUUGAACUCUAUCACACACAG